GUCCUGCUGACGAGUCCCAAACCGGACGAAACAGCUGUCCGGUAC
rnacentral:hammerhead_ribozyme from 1 species